rnacentral:rRNA from 1 species
AUGACGCCAGUGAAACGCUUCGUGACUGCUCGUACGAUGGUCGCCCCCCCCCCGAGCGCCGCCACCUGUGCCGAGAGCGCCGCCGCCUACGCCGAGAGUGCCACGGCAUCUGCAUUGCGCGCAGCCGCUUCCGCCAAGAGGGCGUCCGCGGUAGCCGGCCGGGUAGCUGCAGCAGCCGAGACGGCUGCAGCUGCUGCUGCGACGACGACUGCAAACACCAAGAGCACUCAAGCUGCCGUCUGUGCCGCCGAUGUCGCCCUGGCCCGGGUCGAGUCCAUCCACGCCAAGAUCGAGGAUGCACACGCCAAGAUAUUCCAGGCCACCUCGGAAUCCAGCAUGCAACCCAUGUCCGAAAAGGCGGCGGUGGCCAUGGAGCACCUGCUUCCUCAUGAGGUCACCAAGCGGGAGCUGGAGAUGCAGGAGGCGACGGAGAUCGAGGAGCGCCGGGAGGAGGAGUUGUGCGUGGCCGAGGUCGAGGUAGAGAAGAGUCUGUCCAUCGAGGAAUCGACGGUGGAGUACCAACGCGAGCUCUGGCGCAACCACUACUACGAGUACUACAACCUUGAGGGCGGCGCCGAGGACGAGGACAAGGACAAGGACGAGGAUGCGGUUGACUUCAGUAGGGGGGACGUGGAGUCCGCCAAUGGCGGCAUGUCACCAGGACAAGUCAUUGAUGUCUCAUCUCACACCGUCGCUGCAUAG